AUUGAACGCUGGCGGCAGGCCUAACACAUGCAAGUCGGGCGCGCGGCGGACGGGUGAGUCAUGUAUGGGGAUCUGCCUGAUGGAGGGGAAUACCUACUGGAAACGGUAGCUAAUACCGCAUACCAUCAACUGAACCCUUAUGGGAUUCGCUAGUAGGUGAGGUAACGGCUCACCUAGGAGACGACCCAUAGCUGGUCUGAGAGGAUGAUCAGCCACACUGGGACUGAGACACGGCCCAGACUCCUACGGUAGGCAGCAGUGGGGAAUAUUGCACAAUGGGCGCAAGCCUGAUGCAGCCAUGCCGCGUGUAUGAAGAAGGCCUUCGGGUUGUAAAGUACUUUCAGUCGGGAGGCGUUACCGACAGAAGAAGCACCGGCUAACUCCGUGCCAGCAGCCGCGGUAAUAC
rnacentral:rRNA from 1 species